CCUCGUAGUAACUUUCCAGAAAAACGAAAGGGUUAUGAUGAGAGAUUAUGUCAUACCCUGGCACAUGCUUUGUCCAAUGGACCAUGGAAGGGACUUUACUUGGCUGACGAGGACGCACCUCACCAGUAUCAGAGCAACAGCUGUGGGGUGUUCAUGCUGAUGUACGCAAUGUAUUCUACCCUC